rnacentral:rRNA from 1 species
UACGUAGGGUGCAAGCGUUGUCCGGAAUUAUUGGGCGUAAAGAGCUCGUAGGCGGUUGUCGCGUCGGCUGUGAAAACUCGGGGCUCAACCCCGAGCCUGCAGUCGAUACGGGCAGACUAGAGUGCUGUAGGGGAGACUGGAAUUCCUGGUGUAGCGGUGAAAUGCGCAGAUAUCAGGAGGAACACCGGUGGCGAAGGCAGCUCGCUGGGACGGUACUGACGCUGAGACGCGAAAGCGUGGGGAGCGAACAGG